UUACAAGUUUCCAGACGUAGCAACAUUUACAAUCCCAGUCAGAAUAAUUACUCUUCUGGAAACAAAAGUGCAAAACAUAAAACCAGAAGAAUGGACGUUGGAUACACUAAAAAAUUCUGGAUAUACAUUGUAUAGAUUCCUCAGUGAAUUGAUGACAUCAUCAUUCACUGGGGAAUAUCUAAAAACACACAAGAAAUCUGGCAAAGGUGGUAAGACUGGAACUGUAAAGAGGGAACCCAUGGAUCCUAAAAUAAUAGAAGAAAUAUUCGAUUACACUACACAAACAUGGAAGGACCUCAAAGAUACAACACCGCAACUAAUGCGCCAGGCCAUCUCAAAGUGGGCCAAUUCCUAAAUAACAUGGGCAAAAAAUUAAAGAAAUAAAUAUUUAACUAUUUCAUAUAUGACAAACAUGAAUGUCUACAAAUUUAUUACAAUAAA